AAGUUUCCUAAGAUUCUGCAAAGCAGACAGAAACCCUGGUGACUCCAGCGAUACCACAACUCUUAGGGGAAGAUGAGUCAUGUAUGUGGCAGAAGCAGGAUCAGCCAGCACCUGACUGCAAGUUUCCGCCUCCAGACACUCUGCUGCCUCUCCUCCCUGGCUCAGGGUCAGCACUGAAAAUCAGCCCAAGGAAACGACCAGCUGCCUUCUGGCCCUUAUCAAGGGUGGUGUGAACCCGCGCUAGCUACCCAGGGGUCUGGCCCGGAAGCGGCAGGGGGAGGGCUUUUUAGUCCUGUGUCUAGUCCAGUGGUCACCUCUGCACGGACAGCAGAUGGAGAAGGGGGCUCGGGGAAGGAGGAAAAGGUCAGGCAACCUCUCCAGGAUUCCUGGAAUAAACAUUCCUCCUCCCAAGCUCUUCAUUCUGUUUCACAAUCAAAUCCAGAGUCUUAUAAGCAUUCAUGGAAACCAUGAAAGCAAACAACUUGGUAAACGGUAGACAGAAACAGUAAAUAGAAUCUUCCCUCUA
ensembl:lncRNA novel transcript